GCCGGCUCGCGGGAGCUGAGGGGAAGCGCGGAGCCCGGCAGCGGGGCCAUGCCGCCGGCGGCUCGCGGCGGGCAUCAAUGAUUCUCCCCAGGCCCCUCCUUGGUGCUGUUCUGCUACUGCUGGCCUCAUCGGCGCUGAGCAAGGGCGGGCGGAGGUGCAGCGUGGUGGAGAUCCUGCAGCAGUACCAAGCUGUGCUCUUCGACGAGAUCCACAGCCUGAAAAACCUGAGCAGCCCGGCUGAGGCCCACCGGAAGCACCGGAGCAGGGCUGGCCCUGCCUGCCGCUCCAACCAGGAGCGGAAAAUCCUGCUGUCCAUCUACAACAUGAGCACAUCCCUCCGGGCUGCAGCGAGCGGCUCCCUGCACGACCCCCGGGAGCUGGCUGCCAUGAAGGUGGCCAGCAACACCGAGUCCAUGAUCAGGCAGCACUGCCGGAAGAUCCACAAGGCGAGGCAGAGGAGCCCACCACGGCCACUGGCUCAGGGGAAACAGCAGCUCCGCAGGACAGGCAGCAGCCGCAAGCGGCAGAAGGAGCUGGCCCGGACGGCGGAAAGCCUGCUCGCUUGCUGGGAGAAGCUGUACUCGCUGCACUCAUGGGGCUGAGCCCAUGGGGAACAACAUGGGGCCUUGCCACUUGUGGCUGGCUCUCUGGGGGAUCCAUGCCAGGCCGCGCUGACCUCUUUGCCGUCCGGCUCCGUGGACCUGCUGGCGCUGGAGGCAGACCGUCUUUCUCCAGGAGAGCUGGACACCUCCAAGCUUGCUGUGCAACAGCUUCGUGGGGCAAAGACUCAAGACCCCGAGUUGCAUCUGCAGGGGCUGGGGCUGGAUCGGCUCCCUCGUGCCCAAUGCUUCCCGGUGGGUCCGUGCUGCAUAAGGCCGCUGCAGAGGGAUGGAGCCGGUGGGGAAGGGGAGAUGACAGCGGCACUCGAUGAAGCCCCCAGCGCAGGACAAUGCCUCUCUUCCCAAGUCACUAGGAGCUGGUACCAUGUAUUAAUGUACAAGGCUCUCUCCUGGUAGCUGGGGAGAGCUCUCUGCCCCUGAAGGACAAGGUGGGGGCAUUGGGCAGUGAUGGUGCUUGGGGAACUGUGCCUCCAGGGAGUCUGUGAUCCCCUCUCUUUGUUCUUGGGCCCCGUGCAUGCCCCUGGCUUCCUCCUGUCCGGGGCAGAGACUUUCCGCAGCAACUGGGAAGAAGUGGGCCACCCUGGGCGCCACUCCCCGGUCUCAGCCCUAGUGGUAACAUGCCAUUGCCCCUUUUUGCAUCCAGAUGGCAGGAGGGAUGGCAGGUGGCUCGAGGGACUUGCCCACUGGAAGGCUGGCUGCAGGGGUCGGAUGCCCUGCUAUGCUUCCUGCUUCCUUGCAGUCCUUGGGGAGAGUAGCCUUGGGAGUUACUGGGCACCUCCAGCUCCUGGAGACCCUGGCAGGUGCAGAGCACCCUCCAGGCCCCGCGCGGGGUUGGAGGCACCUUGCCUGACCCUCGGCAGCUGCACGGCUGCUUGAAUCGCCCACAUUUUCUAUGCACCAUAGCAAAAUUCCUGCUGAAAUCCAGCUGAGGGCAAGGCCGGAGCCUCGGUGGAGCUGCGCCUGGAAAAAGGAGGGAGGGGUGGAGAAGGAGGUGCUCCCAACUGAAGGGCUUCCCUGGGCUCCAGCUUUCCCAGCAUUUGCAAUAGUCUCUCGGAAGCUUGAAAUAAAG
ensembl:lncRNA